rnacentral:rRNA from 1 species
UAAUACAGAGGGUGCGAGCGUUGUUCGGAAUUAUUGGGCGUAAAGCGCGUGUAGGCGGGAUGGCAAGUCGGGUGUGAAAGCCCUCAGCUCAACUGAGGAAGUGCGCCCGAAACUACUGUUCUUGAGUGUCGGAGAGGGUGGCGGAAUUCCCGGUGUAGAGGUGAAAUUCGUAGAUAUCGGGAGGAACACCAGUGGCGAAGGCGGCCACCUGGCCGAACACUGACGCUGAGACGCGAAAGCGUGGGGAGCAAACAGGAUUAGAUACCCUGGUAGUCCACGCCGUAAACGAUGAGUGCUAGGUGUUGUGGGUGUUGACCCCCGCAGUGCCGAAGCUAACGCAUUAAGCACUCCGCCUGGGAAGUACGGCCGCAAGGCUA